AUUAAACGCUAACGGUAAGCUUAACACAUGCAAGUCGAACGGCAACGAAAAGAGGCUUGCUUCUUUGUCGGCGAGUGGCGAACGGGUGAGUAAUAUCUGGGGAUCUACUUAAUGGAGGGGGACAACUACUAGAAAUGGUAGCUAAUACCGCAUAAUGUCGCGAGACCAAAGUAGGGGAUUAUUAUUUUUUUAUAAUAACCUUAUACCAUCAAAUGAACCCAGAGGAGAUUAGCUAGUAGGUGAGAUAAUAGCUCACCUAGGCAACGAUCUCUAGCUGGUCUGAGAGGAUGAUCAGCCACACUGGAACUGAGACACGGUCCAGACUCCUACGGGAGGCAGCAGUGGGGAAUCUUGCACAAUGGGCGGAAGCCUGAUGCAGCUAUACCGUGUGUAUGAAGAAGGCCUUAGGGUUGUAAAGUACUUUCAGCACGAAAGAAAAAUAUUCAAUUGAAUAAAUUGGAUACAUGACGUUACGUGAAAAAGAAGCACCGGCUAACUCUGUGCCAGCAGCCGCGGUAAUACGGAGGGUGCGAGCGUUAAUCGGAAUUACUGGGCGUAAAGAGCACGUAGGCGGCUUAUUAAGUCAGAUGUGAAAUCCCUGAGCUUAACUUAGGAAUGGCAUUUGAAACUAAUAAACUAGAGUCUCAUAGAGGGGGGUAGAAUUCCAGGUGUAGCGGUGAAAUGCGUAGAGAUCUGGAGGAAUACCAGUGGCGAAGGCGACCCCCUGGAUGAAUACUGACGCUCAGGUGCGAAAGCAUGGGGAGCAAACAGGAUUAGAUACCCUGGUAGUCCAUGCUGUAAACGAUGUCGACUUGAAAAUUGUAGGCAUGACCCAUAGUUUUCGAAGCUAACGCAUUAAGUCGACCGCCUGGGGAGUACGACCGCAAGGUUAAAACUCAAAUGAAUUGACGGGGGCCCGCACAAGCGGUGGAGCAUGUGGUUUAAUUCGAUGCAACGCGAAGAACCUUACCUGGUCUUGACAUCCACGGAAUUUUAUAGAGAUAUAGAAGUGCCUUCGGGAACCGUGAGACAGGUGCUGCAUGGCUGUCGUCAGCUCGUGUUGUGAAAUGUUGGGUUAAGUCCCGCAACGAGCGCAACCCUUAUCCUUUGUUGCCAGCGGUUUGGCCGGGAACUCAAAGGAAACUGCCGGUGAUAAACCGGAGGAAGGUAAGGACGACGUCAAGUCAUCAUGGCCCUUACGACCAGGGCUACACACGUGCUACAAUGGCAUAUACAAAAAGCAGCAAUCUUGUAAAAGUUAGCGAAUCUUAUAAAAUAUGUCUUAGUCCGGAUUGGAGUCUGCAACUCGACUCCAUGAAGUCGGAAUCGCUAGUAAUCGUGGAUCAGAACGCCACGGUGAAUACGUUCCCGGGCCUUGUACACACCGCCCGUCACACCAUGGAAGUGGAUUGCAAAAGAAGCAAGUUACUUAACUUAACAGAGGGUGCUUACCACUUUGUGAUUCAUGACUGGGGUG
rnacentral:rRNA from 1 species